rnacentral:rRNA from 1 species
UACGGAGGGUGCAAGCAUUGAUCGGAAUUACUGGGCGUAAAGGGCGCGUAGGCGGUUCAGAAAGUCAGAUGUGAAAUUCCGGGGCUCAACCCCGGAGCUGCAUUUGAAACUCCUGAACUAGAGUUCAGUUAGGGUAAACGGAAUUCCACGUGUAGCGGUGAAAUGCGUAGAUAUGUGGAAGAACACCGGUGGUGAAGACGGUUUACUGGGCUGAUACUGACGCUGAGGCGCGAAAGCAUGGGGAGCAAACAGG